UAUCAGAUCCCAAGCAAUACUUCAGUGCCUUCACCUGCCUCCUCAAAUACAGGGUGGGCAGCCAGUGCUUUUGGAAGUUGGCUGGAAGGAAUUCCACCUCCUCCUUCAGAGACCAUGCCACGGGUCCUUAGCGGAAGGACUGAAUAGAGCUGUAAUUGGUGAAAGGAAGGACCAGCUUUGAACAUGAACAAGGACCAGUCUUGAGCAUGAACCAGGAGCUGCAACCAGGCGCCCCCAUUAUGAGAACAUUCCUACACAGCAUCAUAAAUGUGGAAGUUUGCAUCAGUGCAUGAAUGAACGCCCCUGCCAAGCUGAUCCAAGGCGCCUAACUGCUGCUGCAAGCUGAACUCAAAGAUGCUGAUGUGUGUAACUGUAGUGAUGGGUUUAUGGGAGGAUGACUUCUCUAUUGGAUGGUGAGAGAUGGUGAUGCACUAAUAAAGACAAUUAACAGUGUUCACAACAGUGAAUCACUUUAAAAUCAAGGAACUGUUUUCAAGAUAAGGUGAAUCCAGUCAGGAAUGUGUUGAUGGCUGUGAGGGCUCCUGGAACCUGUGGUACUGGGGCUCAACAGUGACAGAA